ensembl:lncRNA
CUCAGAUCACAAUGACUGAAUGGAUCCAGCAGAGGACAAACGUUUAAUUAGUGCUUCCUAAAUAUGAAAAAAAAACAAAGUGCAAAACCUUCUAACCAGGCUGGUCUAGUGUCUCCAUAAAAUUACAGUCUUUAGUCCACAUUUGAAAACUGCUGAUGGUCAGCAGCUUCUAUCAACAUAAAGACCCCAGUAACCAUCUGGUGACACAAUACUACAAAGAAUGUUCUAUUUUUAUAUUAGAUAUUUUCCACCAUUUUCUCGGACCUCUAAUUAUCCAAUCAGCAGGCGGCUCCAGGUGUUCAGCAGCUUUAUCAUCCUCAGGUGAGGCGGCAGUCUGCAGCAGCUUCCAGCCGCUCUUCGGUGCUUCCCGGCGGGCAGAGAGCAGCGCAGUGGACCGGAGCAUGUCGGCGGCUAACAGACGGAUGACGAUGGCCUGGGUUUGGCCCGCUUUGGUGCUUCUAGCCCGGCUCACCACGGCAGAGGAACCGCGUCGGGACGCACACGGGGCUUUGGCCGGCUCCGAGGCGCUGAUCUCGGACUCCGAGCCGCCGAUGGAGACCCGCAGCGGGGGAGGCCUCCUGCCGGUGCUGGUGUGGAAGUUUGUGAAAGAUGCUGCAGAUGCAUCAGAUUUGGGCCGACCGCAGUUUCUCUGCAGCGACACGUCACUCUCUGUUCGCUUGUCGCUCAUCCGAUACUCUGACCUGCAUCUGCAAGAUGGGAAGAGGUUGGCGUGGCUGCAGCAGGGAUGUGAUGGUUCUAUUGGGACCGUGGGGCCGUGGCUGCUGCUGAAGCUGCCUUACACCAGCUGCCAUGUGACAUCACAGGUUUCAAAUGGAACGUGGUUCCACCAGUUGAAGCUGCGUUACUUCGACCACCUGCUGCGGGAGAACAUGACGGCUGUGGUCGCCUGUGAGGAUCCUGCAACGUGGACCCUGCCGGCGGUGAGCUGCAGGAGCACAGAAGUGGCUGUGAAACUGCCUCAGGGAAGCAGACUGCAGAAGGUGAAGGCUCUGGGGAAAGAUGUGGUGGUUGGGAGGGUGCAGACCACCACUACUCCAGGGCCAGUGUUGGUGCAGAUCUCCACACCGGCAGACAAGGACUCCAUGUUUGAAGUGAUCUAUUUGGACUCGGCUGGGGAGAUGUCCACGAUGCUGGCGGCUUGUUUCAGUGCAGCCAGAGGAGAUGCGCGGGAUCGUCGGCGCAGAGCUCUGCAACACCAGGACCAGUGGGACUGGGGGGUGAAUCCUCAUGAUUCAUUCAGUGUAGAACCCACACAGGGGACUGAGGAGGCUGAAAUGAUGGGAACCGUGGAACCUCCAUGUGAGGACGAGGAAACAACAACAACUGUCAUGCUUGUUCCUGUAAUCAUCCCGGGGAUAGAUGAUGAUUCAAAGAUCUUUGAUUUGUGGGGAUUAAACAAUAUUCCUGAAGGGCCUCAUAUGGAACUUGAACCCCACCCCAUGAGUGACUGCGAUCCCCAUAAGGACACCACAACAGUCACCUGCCCCACCGAGCCACCAAGCACGACGGCCACCACCCAGACGACGUCCUCGAGCCUCCCUACCACCACCACGACCCAGCCGACCUCCGCGACGUCCUCGAGCCCCCCUACCAUAACCCAGCCGACCUCCACGACGUCCUCGAGCCCCCCUGCCACCAUCACAACCCAGUCGACCUCCACGAUGUUCUCGAGCCCCCCUGCCACCACCACAACCCAGCCGACUUCCACGACGUCCUCGAGUCCCCCUGCCACGACCCAGCCGACCUCCAUGACGUCCUCAAGCACCCCUACCACCACGACUCAGCCAACCUCCACGAUGUCCUCCAGCGCCCCUACCACCACCACAACCCAGCCGACCUCCAUGACGUCCUCAAGCGCCCCUACCACCACCACGACCCAGCCGACGUCCUCGAGGGCCCCUACCACGACCCAGCCAACGUCCUCAAGCCCCCCUACCACCACCACGACCCAGCCGACCUCCACGAUGUCCUCGAGCGCCCCUACCACGACCCAGCCGACCUCCAUGACGUCCUCGAGCGCCCCUACCACCACCACGACCCAGCCGACCUCCACGACGUCCUCGAGCGCCCCUACCACGACCCAGCCGACCUCCACGACGUCCUCGAGCGCCCCUACCACCACCACGACCCAGCCGACGUCCUCGAGCGCCCCUACCACCACCACGACCCAGCCGACCUCCACGACAUCCUCGAGCGCCCCUACCACCACCACGACCCAGCCGACCUCCACGACAUCCUCGAGCGCCCCUACCACCACCACGACCCAGCCGACCUCCACGACGUCCUCGAGCGCCCCUACCACCACCACCACGACCCAGCCGACCUCCACGACUUCCUCGAGUGCCCCUACCACCACCACGACCCAGCCGACCUCCACGACAUCCUCGAGCGCCCCUACCACCACCACAACCCAGCUGACCUCCAUGACAUCCUCGGGCGCCUCUAGCACCACCACCUAGCCGGCCUCCACCAUGUCCUGUGGCUGAACCGUACUGUUCAGGUGCCAUCCAGUGACUUCAGAUCUUAUAAAUGUUGACUGUCUUUGUUCUGUCGGCACACACGAAAUUUCUUCAGGGACCUUUUAGAUGUCGUAAACUUAAAGUCUGUAACAGUCAGGUGUUGCAGAAAAAAACCCUCAUGAGAAAAAUGUUAAUGAAACACUGCCAUAGCUUCAUUUUCAGAAAUUUACACUUUUAAAUGUUUUUUCCAUUAACAAAAUGUUUUUUUUAAUAUAAAUAAAGCUAGUUGUUUUUUUAUCAAUAAAUAUAACUGUAAUCUUGAAAUAUCUGGUGUAACAUGAAUAAAUGCAAUAAUUGAAAGUUGGAUUCUGUUCAUUUGUCGUUUCUUACUACACGUCAUCGCACAUCGAUGACUCUGAAUUCUGCAGAUGCAGUCGGAACAUGUCAGCAAGGUAAAACCAUACUUUCCUUAUUCAGUUGUCAGUUUAAAAGUAACGCUAUUUUGUAAUUAAAAGACUUGUUUCCU